CGAGAGGUAAAAAAUGAGUAAAAAUCAGUUGUAUAGGUGUGGUAAGCAAGGUUUUCUGUAACCACAAGGACAAAGGUUCAGAUCCUCGUAAACAAAGGUUCAAAUCUAUGGGGGCAUUUGCUCCCUCAGCAUUAGCCGGCUCCGCCCCCCGCCCCUGCUAACAUUCCUUUUUCUUCUCUUUUCUUAAAAAUCUUGAUUUUGAUUGUGAAAAGUUUGAGAAAAAGAACGGAACAAAGAAAAUAAGGGGGAAAAAAAUGAAGGUCGAUAAUCUAACGUAAGUGUUUUCUAAUCCUGGUAAAAUGCAACAACACAAGUGAACCGGGUUAUCUCUAACUUAUGCUCUGCACAUUGGAAAUCCAGUAGUAACCAGUAAAGAGACGAAGUUCCCAAUUCAUAAGAAGUUUUCAGAUGUCAAAGUUCGAACUUCAAUUUGCUUGGAGAGGAAUAGCAGAUAUUUUAUUGAUAUUCAACAAGUGUGGUAUGGAAAUAUUUUUACAUAGUGAUAUUCUUCAACUGGAACAUUGUUAUUGCCAUCAAUCAUAUUAUGCUUCACAUCCUCUUCCUCCUUUAUGUUUGUAUACCAGCUUUUUACAUGGUGUAGUGACCCAAAUCAAGCAAAUGCCCCUUUACCAACAUUUUCUCUUUCAACUUUGGAUGAAGAAUGUGAAAGAAAUACUGGGUGCUCUGCUAGAGUGGGAUCCAGCCCUGUCAAUGGUGGGAUUGGGGUGAGGAUUAUCAAAGAAUUGAACAAGCUAGAGUGCAGAAUGCUAGGGCUAAUUGGGUCAAAUGCACACACACCUUGAUUAGCCCCAUUUCGGUGCCACAUAGGACAAUGUCAUUGGCAGUGAGGAGGCUUGUUAUUCUGCUGCCUGCUGAUAACCUCCCUGCUUUCUGCUGUGUCCCCCUCAACCAUAUCUGGUUCCUCAUUGUAUAUUAGUAACCGGUAGACAAGGAUGUUCAACAACAUGGGAGAAAUGUAACCUACUGGUUUAGGUACUAGUGAUAAAAAUCUGUGCAUAAUUGUAAACAUAUAAUUUUGUUAAUGUAACCAGGUCCCUGCCUACCCUGGAUCAAUAUUACCAA